rnacentral:rRNA from 1 species
GACGAACGCUGGCGGCGUGCCUAAUACAUGCAAGUAGAACGCACAGUUUAUACCGUAGCUUGCUACACCAUAAACUGUGAGUUGCGAACGGGUGAGUAACGCGUAGGUAACCUGCCUGGUAGCGGGGGAUAACUAUUGGAAACGAUAGCUAAUACCGCAUAAUAUUGAUUAUUGCAUGAUAAUUGAUUGAAAGAUGCUAUUGCAUCACUACCAGAUGGACCUGCGUUGUAUUAGCUAGUAGGUGAGGUGACGGCUCACCUAGGCGACGAUACAUAGCCGACCUGAGAGGGUGAUCGGCCACACUGGGACUGAGACACGGCCCAGACUCCUACGGGAGGCAGCAGUAGGGAAUCUUCGGCAAUGGACGAAAGUCUGACCGAGCAACGCCGCGUGAGUGAAGAAGGUUGUCGGAUCGUAAAGCUCUGUUGUAAGAGAGGAACGGGUGUGAGAGUGGAAAGUUCACACUGUGACGGUAGCUUACCAGAAAGGGACGGCUAACUACGUG